CCCUUAGAUGUUCUGGGCCGCACGCGCGCUACACUGAUUCAUGCAACAAGUUUUGUCCUUGGCUGAUAGGCCUGGGUAAUCUUUGAACGUGAAUCGUGAUGGGGAUAGAUGAUUGCAAUUAUUCAUCUUCAACGAGGAAUUCCUAGUAAACGCAAGUCAUCAGCUUGCAUUGAUUACGUCCCUGCCCUUUGUACACACCGCCCGUCGCACCUACCGAUUGAAUGGUCCGGUGAAGCCUCCGGAUUGCGCGGCUUCGGCUGUCGCGAGAAGUUGGCUAAACCUUACCAUUUAGAGGAAGGUGAAGUCGUAACA
rnacentral:rRNA from 1 species